rnacentral:lncRNA from 10 species
UGCUAGUGUGUGCCACAGCCUCCUUUCUCAUCACUUUACCAAAAGAUGUGAUUUGAAAAACAUAUGAAAAUAUUGCCACUGAACUCCCACACCAAUUCCUGAAGAGCUACUGAGGAUUUUGGUGUCACUUUAGAAGUCACUCUAUUUGUGAAUAGCCCAGCAAGAGAAUCAGGUCAAGCUAUUAGGGAGAGUCUAUGGAAAGCAAUGGAAUCAAAUUUCCAGCCAGAAUUUCAGGGUAAAAUUAGAAGUCUUCAAGAAGUAAACUAUGAGCCAACCAGCAUCCCUACUUGGACACUGCUCCAGCUGCCUGAAUGACGUAACUAACAUUUAGAGAUAACAGUGAAUAGAAAGACACACACGACACCAUCUGAAUCACAGUAAAGAGAUGGGUGGACCUGGGUUUGAGUCCUGGCUGUGUCACUUGUUCUCAUGUAUCCUUGAGCAAAUUAUUUCACAUCUCCAAGCUCUAGUAUUACCU